rnacentral:lncRNA from 1 species
GCUGGGCCUGCAGGAAAGCUGUAAGCAGACUGCAGUGUUGCUGAUCAGUGCUGAUCUCCACGUCCGAGUUGGUCCCACAACAUCCAGGCACCACAGUGCUUUCACAAGAGGCAUACGAGCACUUUGUGUCAAAAACACCGAGCACUGUGGAUACAGAGGCAAGGAGGCUGAAGGACCUGAACAAGCACCUGGCCACCAUGCUUCGAUAUGCAAAAUAAAGAUGGUUUGUGUUAA